AUGAAUGUGGAAGAAGAGGUUGGACGCCUAAGGGAAGAAAUCAAGAGGCUUGGCAAGCUCCAAUCAGAUGGUUCUUACAAGGUUACAUUUGGAACGCUAUUUCAUGAUGAUCAAUGUGCAAAUAUAUUUGAAGCACUUGUUGGGACACUAAGAGCAGCUAAAAAGCGAAAAGUAUUAACAUACGAAGGUGAAUUGCUGCUGCAAGGAGUUCAUGACAAUGUGGAAAUCACUCUUAAUCCCACCCCUGCUGCUGCUGUCAACUGA